CUUUCCUUCUUUUUUCAGAAUCCCGUCCCACUCACAUCAAUCAAGACUGCCUUGCACAAAUCUAUGACAGUGAUGCUUCUACCACUUGGGCCAUUCAGUCAAUAGAAAAAACUCAAGGCAGAUUUUAAAUCAACACCAAAAUCAAUCAAGACCAGGCAACUCAGUCUAAGCAAACCAGAAAACAUGACUUCUUCUUGGGCAACACUUGGUCUGCCCUCUGAUAAAAAGCAUUCUAAAAUGGUGCUGGAUGCCAUCAUCCCUGAAACAGAUAAAGCACACACACAAAAAGAAGGAACUUGUACUUUAGCCCCUAAAAAGAAAGAGGCUAUUAAAAAAAAUACAGCUGAGAUCCAGAAGUGACUGUGGCCCUCUUCCAAAUUACACUGGCUACAUCCCAGGUAUGUCUCUCUCUAGUCUGAACAUGUGCUUCUGCUCUAAAUCCAUCCACAUGAAAAACCUUAAUCGUUGGGGAAGCUUAAAGGGAAAACAGG
rnacentral:lncRNA from 1 species